AACGCUGGCGGCGUGCCUAACACAUGCAAGUCGACGGAAUCAGGCGCUUCGGAGACUUCGGUCAAUGUUUGCCUGGUUUAGUGGCGGACGGGUGAGUAACGCGUGGAUAACCCUGCCUCAUACAGGGGGAUAACAGUUAGAAAUGACUGCUAAUACCGCAUAAGCGCACGGGACCGCAUGAUCCUGUGUGAAAAACUCCGGUGGUAUGAGAUGGAUCCGCGUCUGAUUAGCUAGUUGCGGGGUAACAGCCCACCAAGGCGACGAUCAGUAGCCGGCCUGGGAGGGUGAACGGCCACAUUGGGACUGAGACACGGCCCAAACUCCUACGGGAGGCAGCAGUGGGGGAUAUUGCACAAUGGGGGAAACCCUGAUGCAGCCGACGCCGCGUGAGUGAAGAAGUAUUUCGGUAUGUAAAGCUCUAUCAGCAGGGAAGAUAAUGACGGUACCUGACUAAGAAGCACCGGCUAAAUACGUGCCAGCCGCUGC
rnacentral:rRNA from 1 species